AAGAGAGAGAGAGAGAGAGAAUCAAUUGAUAUGAAUGCAUAUAAGAACUUGAAACCACUUAGCACAUAACAACUGAGAGAGGCACAGAAGCAAAAAAAGAGUUCUCCAAUAGUGAUUCAUAGAGACACACAAUGGCAGUCAUGUGAUUAAUUUUAUCUAGAAACUUAAUCCAUAAAAAGUGUAGUUUCAGUUUUGUUUUAUAGCCUACAAAACAACAAAUAUUUGCAAAGCCAAAGAAAAAACUCCUGUGCAAUUAAAACCCUAAAAAAGAAUUCCAAUCAUUUUCCAUAUAUUCAGAACAUUCUGUACAGCCACAGGUAGUGGAAAUUCUCAUAUUCCCCUAUGAAGGACCUAAAUUCAUGGAGAACUAUAAAUAAAUGGAUGAGAAAGCUCAGAUCAAAGCAUAAGAGGAUCUGAAAAAUAUUUGAAAUAAUCAUGAGAUACAAUACCAUCAAGACUUCCGGUUAUAAAAAAUCUGCUGGAGAUACUACAACAUGGGUAACCACAUCUCAAUGCAUAUAACUUUUCUCAUACCGGUAAAAAUAAACUAUGGAUAAGAAACUCUCUUCUAUAUUUACAACUUUUCAACUUUUUCUCAAUUAUUGGCAACUUUUUUUUCCAGUAGGAAGUGCAAAGCACUUCAAAUGUACACAGAAAUGUAGAAUACACAAAAACUUCGCAUCAAUCGAAUAUUUUGCUAUAGGUGAACAACAGAAAAGUACUUGAACAAAACGAAUUGUGCAUUCAACAGAAGCUCGCAACACCAAUAGAGCAACUCAACUCAACUAAGCUUUUA
rnacentral:misc_RNA from 1 species